rnacentral:miRNA from 1 species
GGGGCGCGGCCGGAUCG